CAGUAGCCGCGGGAAAACGGAGGGGGCUAGCGUUGUUCGGAAUUACUGGGCGUAAAGCGCACGUAGGCGGCUUGGUAAGUUAGAGGUGAAAGCCCGGAGCUCAACUCCGGAAUUGCCUUUAAGACUGCCGAGCUAGCAGGUGAGAGAGGUAAGUGGAAUUCCGAGUGUAGAGGUGAAAUUCGUAGAUAUUCGGAAGAACACCAGUGGCGAAGGCGGCUUACUGGCUCAUACUGGACGCUGAGGUGCGAAAGCGUGGGGAGCAAACAGGAUUAGAUACCCCAGUAGUCCCUGUCUCUUAUAA
rnacentral:rRNA from 1 species